rnacentral:lncRNA from 1 species
AGGGGAAAGUAAUUCAAAUUACAAAUUGACCAUCAACAUGAUUCUUCGAUUCAACCUAAGGCUUAGGGGCUACUCCAUACGAAGUGCGACAAAAGUCGCACUACCAUAUAAAAUUCAAGAUUGAAGGAUGUGAGACUGAGUUAAAUGAGGCUUGAGCACAUUCUAGCCGUAUGGCAGUUUUUUGGGUACUUUUGAAGAUUCAACCACACGAAGUACUCGAAGAGCACCAAAACUAGUCGGUGAAGUCUG